GAACUCUGGCUGAGCUGUACGGGGCCAAGGAGCCCCCGGCCCCCUGAGAGCCAGGCUGUCUUGCCCGGCAUGGUGGGGUAGCCCGCACAGGCCCUCUAAAUGGGCACCCUGAGGUCCGGGCAGGCGGCAGCAGCCGAGGGACCCCAGGGUCCUCCCCUCCCUGUGUCCCUCCUCCCAGCUCCCCCAGAGCAACCUCCUCCUUACCUCCCUCUCCCUGAGUUGCUGUCUCUAUCCAGGGAUCUCUGUCUCUGUCUGUAACACUCCCCGUCUGGGUCUGGGUUCUGUGGCUCCAACUCUAAAUCUCUAUGUUCUGUCACUGUGAUUCCACUUUUUCCGUGACUCUGUUUUUGUCUCUUGGAUUCUAAAUCUCUCAUACAUGCUCUCUCUGUCAUCCUUGCCCCAACACACAUGCUCUGUGUCUGUCCCCUGCCCACAUCUGCCUCCAUUCUUUCUGGGUCCCUGUGACUGGCUUUUUGAUUUUUUCCAUUGUCAAUCCCAAAAGCAAGAGAAACUUCCAGCCACUGCUGCCCACCCUCCUGCAGCGGAUGUUCUGCCCCAGACCUGCCCGCAUGGUUCCAUCCAUCACUCAUGGCCUCAUCCUAUCUGUACUGGCCUCCAGCAGAGAGAGCGAGCCUGCCAACCUCCCAGGGGAGAGCUCCAGCCCCCCGCGUGGCCGCCUCCCUGGAGCUCUGCCUGUCUGUUGGCAUCCCAGCUCUGGGCAUUGUCUUGUGUGCUUCCCAGGCCCCAAGGAGAAGGGAAGGGAAGGAAAGCGGGAGGCAGCUGGGGAAGGGGAAAGAGGGAGGAAGGGGAGGGGCCUCCAUCUCUAAUUUCAUAAUAAACAAACACUUUAUUUUGUAGAA